UACGUAGGGUGCGAGCGUUAAUCGGAAUUACUGGGCGUAAAGCGUGCGUAGACGGUUAUUUAAGUCGGAUGUGAAAGCCCCGGGCUCAACCUGGGAAUUGCAUUCGAGACUGAAUAGCUAGGGUACGGUAGAGGGAAGUGGAAUUUCCGGUGUAGCGGUGAAAUGCGUAGAGAUGUGGAGGAACACCGAUGGCGAAGGCAGCCUUCUGGGCCAACACUGACGCUCAUGCACGAAAGCGUGGGGAGCAAACAGG
rnacentral:rRNA from 1 species